GGUUAAGUGACUAAGCGUACACGGUGGAUGCCUAGGCAGUCAGAGGCGAUGAAGGGCGUGCUAAUCUGCGAAAAGCGUCGGUAAGGUGAUAUGAACCGUUACAACCGGCGAUACCCGAAUGGGGAAACCCAGUGUGUUUCGACACACUAUCAUGUCAUGAAUACAUAGUGGCAUGAGGCGAACCGGGGGAACUGAAACAUCUAAGUACCCCGAGGAAAAGAAAUCAACCGAGAUUCCCCCAGUAGCGGCGAGCGAACGGGGAGGAGCCCAGAACCUGAAUCGGCUUGUGUGUUAGUGGAAGCGUCUGGAAAGUCGCGCAGCAAAGGGUGAUAGCCCCGUACACUAAAAUGCACAGGUCGUGAGUUCGAUGAGUAGGGCGGGACACGUGACAUCCUGUCUGAAUAUGGGGGGACCAUCCUCCAAGGCUAAAUACUCCUGACUGACCGAUAGUGAACCAGUACCGUGAGGGAAAGGCGAAAAGAACCCCGGCGAGGGGAGUGAAAUAGAACCUGAAACCGUGUACGUACAAGCAGUGGGAGCACCUUCGUGGUGUGACUGCGUACCUUUUGUAUAAUGGGUCAGCGACUUAUAUUUUGUAGCAAGGUUAACCGUAUAGGGGAGCCGUAGGGAAACCGAGUCUUAACUGGGCGAAUAGUUGCAAGGUAUAGACCCGAAACCCGGUGAUCUA
rnacentral:rRNA from 1 species